rnacentral:misc_RNA from 1 species
UGGUUUGCCUCCCAUGG